rnacentral:pre_miRNA from 7 species
AUAUGAGAUGGUGAUAUGUCUAGAAGUGUAAGACCCCCUUUCAGGGACCCCUACUCUAGUCUCGGGAGUGAGAGAGCACCCAAAGGAACACGAGGACCC